rnacentral:rRNA from 1 species
GUUGUUGCGGUUAAAAGCUCGUAGUUGGAUUUCUGUCGGUGAGGUUCAGUCCGCCCAAGUGGUUGGUACGUGAUCCGCCACCGGCAUCUUCCUGGGGAAUGUGUCUGCUCUUAAUUGGGUGGUACAUAAGCCAGGACUUUUACUUUGAAGAAAUGAGAGUGUUUCAAGCAGGCAUGCGCCGUGAAUACGUUAGCAUGGGAUAAUAGCAUCGGACCUCGUUCCAAAGCUGUUGGUUUCUUGGACCGAGGUAAAGGUGAAUAGGGAUUGUUGGGGGCAUUCGUAUUUGACUGUCAGAGGUGAAAUUCUUGUAUUUGUUGAAGACGGACUACUGCGAAAGCAUCUGCCAAAGAUGUUCUCAUUGAUCAAGAACGAAAGUUAGGUGAUCGAAGACGAUCAGAUACCGUCCCAGUCUUAACCAUAAACUAUGCCGACUGGAGAUCGGGGGUCGUUAAUUAUGUGACGCCCUCUGCAUCUUGAGAGAAAUCAAAGUCUUUGGGUUCCGGGGGGAGUAUGGUCGCAAGGCU